rnacentral:rRNA from 1 species
GGGUUGUGAGGUUAAGCGACUAAGCGUACACGGUGGAUGCCCUGGCAGUCAGAGGCGAUGAAGGGCGUGCUAAUCUGCGAUAAGCGCCGGUAAGGUGAUAUGAACCGUUAUAACCGGCGAUACCCGAAUGGGGAAACCCAGUGUGAUUCGUCACACUAUCAUUAACUGAAUCCAUAGGUUAAUGAGGCGAACCGGGGGAACUGAA